GGCUUUGCGCAGUGGCAGUAUCGUAGCCAAUGAGGUUUAUCCGAGGCGCGAUUAUUGCUAUUUGAAAACUUUUCUCAAUACCCCACCUGUGGAUGACUUGAAAUAUAGUCGGCAUUGGCAAUUUUUUGACAGUCUCUACAGAGA